CGGGAUGUGGCGCAGGUGGUAGCGCGUCCGCUUUGGGAGCGGAAGGUCGCGAGUUCGAGUCUCGCCAUCCCGA
rnacentral:tRNA from 1 species